rnacentral:lncRNA from 1 species
UGCCCUGCCCCACUGUCCCCUUCCUGACAACUUGAGCCAGUAAGCCAUGCAGGGUGUGGUGCCUCCUAGAGAAAACACUGCCUGGACUGUUCUGUGCAUCCCUCCAAACAGCAUCAUCCAAAUCCAACUGAGGACAGACGGACUGUCCCGGCCUGGGCCUGGGCUCCUAACACCUGACUGCCAAAGGGCUCCAAUGUGCAUUGUGGACUCGCCAGAGUAGCCUGCAUUGAGACUCCAAGAAAACAGAAGCUAUGUGGCCUCUGAUCCCCAAACUGGCCUGGGUGGGGACAUGCCUUGAGUGUGCUGGAAUGUGGGUGGAGCCUGCUUCUGGGCCACCCCUCCUGGUUCAGGGCUGUGCUCACAGCAGAUUCUUGCAGUAUCAAGUAUACGCCUGUGGCAGAAUAAGUAUCUGUAAAUACAUGUUUAAAGAUGGAUUUUGUUUAAAAAAUCUAAAGGAACAAGUGUGUCGUGUGUCAAGCUGAUGAGGACUGUCAGACUGUGGCUUAGCUCAGUGUGACCCAGACCUUGUGACCUGUAGCUGCCGAACCAGUAGCUCCUAAGAGCACAACCCAGGAUGGCCCAUCUGCUGCCCACCAAGUCCCUUUCCAGCCACUGUGUGCUGGGGGCUUUCGGGGGCAGUUGCCCACCUCCUCAGGGCAGCUCUUUCUGGCCUUUUGGGGGGCAGUGUCUGUGCCAUGCCUAAUAGAUAUGACCAGACGCAUCCUAAGAUGUUGAUUCUUACUGUGUUGUAUAAAAUAAAGUGUAGUUUACAAAAAAAAGAAACGUAAAAAAAAAAAACUACAUGCAAAACUGUAGGUAAUGAAAAUGAUGUAUUUUUUUCAUCUUUUUUUGUUAACUAAUUUGCAAUAAAAAUGAUACUGAUGGUUGUCCACAUUUUGCU